rnacentral:rRNA from 1 species
UAAUACGGAGGGUGCAAGCGUUAAUCGGAAUUACUGGGCGUAAAGCGCGCGUAGGCGGUUUUGUAAGUCGGAUGUGAAAGCCCCGGGCUUAACCUGGGAAUUGCAUUCGAUACUGCGUGACUAGAGUAUGGUAGAGGGAAGCGGAAUUCCGGGUGUAGCGGUGAAAUGCGUAGAUAUCCGGAGGAACACCAGUGGCGAAGGCGGCUUCCUGGACCAAUACUGACGCUGAGGCGCGAAAGCGUGGGGAGCAAACAGGAUUAGAUACCCUGGUAGUCCACGCCCUAAACUAUGUCAACUAGCCGUUGGGAUCAUUGAAGGUCUUAGUGGCGCAGCUAACGCGAUAAGUUGACCGCCUGGGGAGUACGGCCGCAAGGUUA